AUGGUAGGGCCUUUUAAGCAAUCUAAAGAUAAGAAGACCCACCUGUUGGUGGCGGUUGAGAAGUUCACUAAAUGGGUUGAAGCGGAGCCAGUAAGCAAGUGUGACGCAGCCACGGCGGUUCAGUUCAUCAAAAAGGUGAUCUUCCGUUUUGGUUUUCCACAUAGCAUUAUCACAGAUAAUGGCACGAACCUUUCUAAAGGCGAGAUGGAGGACUUCUGUCAACGAGAGCACAUCCGGCUUGAUGUAGCCUCUGUGGCUCACCCCCAAUCUAAUGGUCAAGCUGAGCGAGCUAAUCAGGAAAUUUUAAAGGGUAUAAAGCCCCGACUUAUGGUUCCUUUGAAGCGGACGCCGGGUUGUUGGGUCGAGGAAUUACCAUCUGUUUUAUGGAGCAUAAAUACCACCCCAAACCGGUCUACA
rnacentral:rRNA from 1 species